UACGUAGGAUGCGAGCGUUGUCCGGAAUUACUGGGCGUAAAGCGUGCGCAGGCGGUUUGCUAAGACAGGUGUGAAAUCCCCGGGCUUAACCUGGGAACUGCGCUUGUAACUGGCAAGCUAGAGUGUGGCAGAGGGGGGUGGAAUUCCACGUGUAGCAGUGAAAUGCGUAGAGAUGUGGAGGAACACCGAUGGCGAAGGCAGCCCCCUGGGCUAACACUGACGCUCAUGCACGAAAGCGUGGGGAGCAAACAGG
rnacentral:rRNA from 1 species